CAAUAGCGUAUAUUAAAGUUGUUGCGGUUAAAAAGCUCGUAGUUGGAUUUCUGCUGAGAACGACCGGUCCGCCCUCUGGGUGUGUAUCUGGCUCUUUCUUGGCAUCUUCUUGGAGAACGUUGCUGCACUUGACUGUGUGGAGCGCUACCCAGGACUUUUACUUUGAGGAAAUUAGAGUGUUUCAAGCAGGCAUACGCCUUGAAUACAUUAGCAUGGAAUAAUAAGAUAGGACCUCGGUUCUAUUUUGUUGGUUUCUAGAGCUGAGGUAAUGAUUAAUAGGGAUAGUUGGGGGCAUUCGUAUUUAACUGUCAGAGGUGAAAUUCUUGGAUUUAUGAAAGACGAACUUCUGCGAAAGCAUUUGCCAAGGAUGUUUUCAUUA
rnacentral:rRNA from 1 species